rnacentral:ncRNA from 1 species
GAUCAAAAAGUUACGGGACUGAUUUUGUCACGUAAAAAGAGAGGGCAGCACAGUAAUACGCGCGCAGCAGUCGAAGGAGGGAACCUUCGUGCCUCGUUACACCACAGGGCGUCGCUCUGUGCACAUCUGGAGCUGCGCUCUGUUCCGAGGACAUGUGUCAGGCUGGGAGUUUGACAGGGGCGGUACAUCUGCCAAAUGGUAACUAACGUAGGUGUCCUAAGGCGAGCUGAGCGAGGACAGCAACCUCGCGUAGAGAAAAAGGACACGAGUUUUUGUGACCACGUGCACGCGCACAAUGGCGAUCUCUCCAUAGACUGCGAACCAAAGCGAGAGCAAAGUCA